rnacentral:rRNA from 1 species
GGUGUAGCAAUACACUUGUACAGUGGCAAACGGGUGAGGAAUACGUGAGUGACCUACCCUCGAGUGGGGAAUAACCAGCCGAAAGGUUGGCUAAUACCGCGUACGUUUCCCGGUUUACGGAUCGGGAAGGAAAGCAAUACCGUGGGUAUUGCGCUCAAGGAUGGGCUCACGUCCUAUCAGCUAGUUGGUAGGGUAACGGCCUACCAAGGCUCUGACGGGUAGCUGGUCUGAGAGGACGAUCAGCCACACUGGCACUGCGACACGGGCCAGACUCCUACGGGAGGCAGCAGUAAGGAAUAUUGCGCAAUGGGCGAAAGCCUGACGCAGCGACGCCGCGUGGGGGAUGAAGGUCUUCGGAUUGUAAACCCCUUUCGGGAGGGACGAUGGGAUGGGCAACCAUCUGGACGGUACCUCCAGAAGCAGCCACGGCUAACUUCGUGCCAGCAGCAGCGGUAAUACGAAGGCCUCAAGCGUUAUCCGGAAUUAUUGGGCGUAAAGCGUCCGCAGGCGGUUUGUUAAGCGUGUCGUCAAAUUUCAGGGCUCAACCCUGGGGCUGCGAUGCGAACUGGCAAACUAGAGUGUGGGAGAGGCAUCUGGAAUUGUCGGUGUAGUAGUAAAAUGCGUUAAUAUCGACAGGAACACCAAAAGCGAAAGCAUGAUGCUGGAACACUACUGACGCUCAGGGACGAAAGCGUGGGGAGCGAAUCGGAUUAGAUACCCGAGUAGUCCACGCCGUAAACGAUGCACACUAGACAUUGGCAGUAUCGACCCUGUCAGUGUCGUUUAACCAAGCUAACGCGUUAAGUGUGCCGCCUGGGGAGUACGGUCGCAAGACUAAAACUCAAAGGAAUUGACGGGGACCCGCACAAGCGGUGGAAGCAUGUGGUUCAAUUCGACGGUAAGCGAGGAACCUCACCCAGUCUUGACAUGUAGCUGCAAGCCACUAAAAAUAGGAGGCCGCCUUUCGAGGGUGCUACACAGGUGCUUGCUGGGUUGUCGUCAGCUUCGUGGCGUGAGCUGUACCGGUUAAGUCCCGGUAACGAGCGCAACCCUUCGUGGUUG